rnacentral:rRNA from 2 species
AAAUUGAAGAGUUUGAUCAUGGCUCAGAUUGAACGCUGGCGGCAGGCCUAACACAUGCAAGUCGAACGGUAGCACAGAGAGCUUGCUCUCGGGUGACGAGUGGCGGACGGGUGAGUAAUGUCUGGGAAACUGCCCGAUGGAGGGGGAUAACUACUGGAAACGGUAGCUAAUACCGCAUAACGUCGCAAGACCAAAGUGGGGGACCUUCGGGCCUCACACCAUCGGAUGUGCCCAGAUGGGAUUAGCUAGUAGGUGGGGUAACGGCUCACCUAGGCGACGAUCCCUAGCUGGUCUGAGAGGAUGACCAGCCACACUGGAACUGAGACACGGUCCAGACUCCUACGGGAGGCAGCAGUGGGGAAUAUUGCACAAUGGGCGCAAGCCUGAUGCAGCCAUGCCGCGUGUAUGAAGAAGGCCUUCGGGUUGUAAAGUACUUUCAGCGAGGAGGAAGGCGUUGUGGUUAAUAACCACAGCGAUUGACGUUACUCGCAGAAGAAGCACCGGCUAACUCCGUGCCAGCAGCCGCGGUAAUACGGAGGGUGCAAGCGUUAAUCGGAAUUACUGGGCGUAAAGCGCACGCAGGCGGUUUGUUAAGUCAGAUGUGAAAUCCCCGGGCUCAACCUGGGAACUGCAUUUGAAACUGGCAAGCUUGA